rnacentral:rRNA from 1 species
GGGUUGUGAGGUUAAGCGACCAAGCGUACACGGUGGAUGCCCUGGCAGUCAGAGGCGAUGAAGGACGUGCUAAUCUGCGAAAAGCGCCGGUAAGGUGAUAUGAACCGUUAUAACCGGCGAUGUCCGAAUGGGGAAACCCAGUGUGACUCGUCACACUAUCAUUACGUGAAUACAUAGCGUAAUGAGGCGAACCGGGGGAACUGAAACAUCUAAGUACCCCGAGGAAAAGAAAUCAACCGAGAUUCCCCCAGUAGCGGCGAGCGAACGGGGAGGAGCCCAGAGCCUGAAUCAGCAUGUGUGUUAGUGGAAGCGUCUGGAAAGGCGCGCGAUACAGGGUGAGAGCCCCGUACACAAAAGCGCAUAUGCUGUGAGCUCGAUGAGUAGGGCGGGACACGUGGUAUCCUGUCUGAAUAUGGGGGGACCAUCCUCCAAGGCUAAAUACUCCUGACUGACCGAUAGUGAACCAGUACCGUGAGGGAAAGGCGAAAAGAACCCCGGCGAGGGGAGUGAAAAAGAACCUGAAACCGUGUACGUACAAGCAGUGGGAGCCCCACCACUAAGCCAGUGGUGAACUCCACAUACGCAUCCUUUGCUGAGGAUACGGUUAACGGAGCGAAAGCGACGUUCAACCGCAAAAGAAGCAGAGGGGGCUUAGUGGUGGGGUGACUGCGUACCUUUUGUAUAAUGGGUCAGCGACUUAUAUUCUGUAGCAAGGUUAACCGCAUAGGGGAGCCGAAGGGAAACCGAGUCUUAACCGGGCGUUAAGUUGCAGGGUAUAGACCCGAAACCCGGUGAUCUAGCCAUGGGCAGGUUGAAGGUUGGGUAACACUAACUGGAGGACCGAACCGACUAAUGUUGAAAAAUUAGCGGAUGACCUGUGGCUGGGGGUGAAAGGCCAAUCAAACCGGGAGAUAGCUGGUUCUCCCCGAAAGCUAUUUAGGUAGCGCCUCGUGAAUUCAUCUCCGGGGGUAGAGCACUGUUUCGGCUAGGGGGCCAUCCCGGCUUACCAACCCGAUGCAAACUGCGAAUACCGGAGAAUGUUAUCACGGGAGACACACGGCGGGUGCUAACGUCCGUCGUGAAGAGGGAAACAACCCAGACCGCCAGCUAAGGUCCCAAAGUCAUGGUUAAGUGGGAAACGAUGUGGGAAGGCCCAGACAGCCAGGAUGUUGGCUUAGAAGCAGCCAUCAUUUAAAGAAAGCGUAAUAGCUCACUGGUCGAGUCGGCCUGCGCGGAAGAUGUAACGGGGCUAAACCAUGCACCGAAGCUGCGGCAGCGACACGUAAGUGUUGUUGGGUAGGGGAGCGUUCUGUAAGCCGUAGAAGGUGUGUCGUGAGGCAUGCUGGAGGUAUCAGAAGUGCGAAUGCUGACAUAAGUAACGAUAAAGCGGGUGAAAAGCCCGCUCGCCGGAAGACCAAGGGUUCCUGUCCAACGUUAAUCGGGGCAGGGUGAGUCGACCCCUAAGGCGAGGCCGAAAGGCGUAGUCGAUGGGAAACAGGUUAAUAUUCCUGUACUUGGUGUUACUGCGAAGGGGGGACGGAGAAGGCUAUGUUGGCCGGGCGACGGUUGUCCCGGUUUAAGCGUGUAGGUGUGUGUUCCAGGUAAAUCCGGUUCACUUUAACACUGAGGCGUGAUGACGAGGCACUACGGUGCUGAAGCAACAAAUGCCCUGCUUCCAGGAAAAGCCUCUAAGCAUCAGGUAACAUCAAAUCGUACCCCAAACCGACACAGGUGGUCAGGUAGAGAAUACCAAGGCGCUUGAGAGAACUCGGGUGAAGGAACUAGGCAAAAUGGUGCCGUAACUUCGGGAGAAGGCACGCUGACAUGUAGGUGAAGUGAUUUACUCAUGGAGCUGAAGUCAGUCGAAGAUACCAGCUGGCUGCAACUGUUUAUUAAAAACACAGCACUGUGCAAACACGAAAGUGGACGUAUACGGUGUGACGCCUGCCCGGUGCCGGAAGGUUAAUUGAUGGGGUCAGCGCAAGCGAAGCUCCUGAUCGAAGCCCCGGUAAACGGCGGCCGUAACUAUAACGGUCCUAAGGUAGCGAAAUUCCUUGUCGGGUAAGUUCCGACCUGCACGAAUGGCGUAAUGAUGGCCAGGCUGUCUCCACCCGAGACUCAGUGAAAUUGAACUCGCUGUGAAGAUGCAGUGUACCCGCGGCAAGACGGAAAGACCCCGUGAACCUUUACUAUAGCUUGACACUGAACAUUGAGCCUUGAUGUGUAGGAUAGGUGGGAGGCUUUGAAGCGUGGACGCCAGUCUGCGUGGAGCCAACCUUGAAAUACCACCCUUUAAUGUUUGAUGUUCUAACGUGGACCCGUAAUCCGGGUUGCGGACAGUGUCUGGUGGGUAGUUUGACUGGGGCGGUCUCCUCCUAAAGAGUAACGGAGGAGCACGAAGGUUGGCUAAUCCUGGUCGGACAUCAGGAGGUUAGUGCAAUGGCAUAAGCCAGCUUGACUGCGAGCGUGACGGCGCGAGCAGGUGCGAAAGCAGGUCAUAGUGAUCCGGUGGUUCUGAAUGGAAGGGCCAUCGCUCAACGGAUAAAAGGUACUCCGGGGAUAACAGGCUGAUACCGCCCAAGAGUUCAUAUCGACGGCGGUGUUUGGCACCUCGAUGUCGGCUCAUCACAUCCUGGGGCUGAAGUAGGUCCCAAGGGUAUGGCUGUUCGCCAUUUAAAGUGGUACGCGAGCUGGGUUUAGAACGUCGUGAGACAGUUCGGUCCCUAUCUGCCGUGGGCGCUGGAAGAUUGAGGGGGGCUGCUCCUAGUACGAGAGGACCGGAGUGGACGCAUCACUGGUGUUCGGGUUGUCAUGCCAAUGGCACUGCCCGGUAGCUAAAUGCGGAAAAGAUAAGUGCUGAAAGCAUCUAAGCACGAAACUUGCCCCGAGAUGAGUCUUCCCUGAGACUUUGAGUCUCCUGAAGGAACGUUGAAGACGACGACGUUGAUAGGCCGGGUGUGUAAGCGCAGCGAUGCGUUGAGCUAACCGGUACUAAUGAACCGUGAGGCUUAACCUUACAACGCCGAAGCUGUU